GAUGAACGCUGGCGGCGUGCCUAAUACAUGCAAGUCGAGCGAACAGACGAGGAGCUUGCUCCUCUGACGUUAGCGGCGGACGGGCGAGUAACACGUGGAUAACCUACCUAUAAGACUGGGAUAACUUCGGGAAACCGGAGCUAAUACCGGAUAAUAUAUUGAACCGCAUGGUUCAAUAGUGAAAGACGGUUUUGCUGUCUCUUAUAGAUGGAUCCGCGCCGCAUUAGCUAGUUGUUAAGGUAACGGCUUACCAAGGCAACGAUGCGUAGCCGACCUGAGAGGGUGAUCGGCCACACUGGAACGGAGACACGGUCCAGCCUCCUACGGGAGGCAGCAGUAGGGAAUCUUCCGCAAUGGGCGAAAGCUUGACGGAGCAACCCCGCGUGAGUGAUGAAGGUCUUCGGAUCGUAAAACUCUGUUAUUAGGGAAGAACAAAUGUGUAAGUAACUAUGCACGUCUUGACGGUACCUAAUCAGAAAGCCACGGCUAACUACGUG
rnacentral:rRNA from 1 species